AGUGAACGCUGGCGGUAGGCCUAACACAUGCAAGUCGAACGGCAGCACAGUAAGAGCUUGCUCUUACGGGUGGCGAGUGGCGGACGGGUGAGGAAUACAUCGGAAUCUACUUUUUCGUGGGGGAUAACGUAUGGAAACUUACGCUAAUACCGCAUACGACCUACGGGUGAAAGCAGGGGAUCUUCGGACCUUGCGCGAUUGAAUGAGCCGAUGUCGGAUUAGCUAGUUGGCGGGGUAAAGGCCCACCAAGGCGACGAUCCGUAGCUGGUUUGAGAGGAUGAUCAGCCACACUGGAACUGAGACACGGUCCAGACUCCUACGGGAGGCAGCAGUGGGGAAUAUUGGACAAUGGGCGCAAGCCUGAUCCAGCCAUACCGCGUGGGUGAAGAAGGCCUUCGGGUUGUAAAGCCCUUUUGUUGGGAAAGAAAAGCAGCAGGUUAAUACCCCGCUGUUCUGACGGUACCCAAAGAAUAAGCACCGGCUAACUUCGUG
rnacentral:rRNA from 1 species